rnacentral:rRNA from 2 species
GGACUACCGGGGUAUCUAAUCCUGUUUGCUCCCCUAGCUUUCGUGCCUCAGUGUCAGGAGUCGUCCAGGGACUCGCCUUCGCCACUGGUGUUCCACUUGAUAUCUACGCAUUUCACUGCUACACCAAGUAUUCCAGUCCCCCCUCCGACCCUCUAGCAGGGUAGUUUCCAAUGCCAUUUCCGAGUUGAGCUCGGAGAUUUCACAUCCGACUUACCCCACCACCUACGCACCCUUUACGCCCAGUGAAUCCGAACAACGCUUGGGACCUCUGUAUUACCGCGGCUGCUGGCAC